CCUACGGGGGGCAGCAGUGGGGAAUAUUGGACAAUGGGCGAAAGCCUGAUCCAGCAAUGCCGCGUGAGUGAUGAAGGCCUUAGGGUUGUAAAGCUCUUUUACCAGGGAUGAUAAUGACAGUACCUGGAGAAUAAGCUCCGGCUAACUCCGUGCCAGCAGCCGCGGUAAUACGGAGGGAGCUAGCGUUGUUCGGAAUUACUGGGCGUAAAGCGUACGUAGGCGGUGAUUCAAGUCAGAGGUGAAAGCCUGGAGCUCAACUCCAGAACUGCCUUUGAAACUAGAUCGCUAGAAUCACGGAGAGGUGAGUGGAAUUCCGAGUGUAGAGGUGAAAUUCGUAGAUAUUCGGAAGAACACCAGUGGCGAAGGCGGCUCACUGGACGUGUAUUGACGCUGAGGUACGAAAGCGUGGGGAGCAAACAGGAUUAGAUACCCCUGUAGUC
rnacentral:rRNA from 1 species